rnacentral:rRNA from 1 species
ACAGCAGCAGCCGCGGUAAUACAGAGGGUGCGAGCGUUAAUCGGAUUUACUGGGCGUAAAGCGUGCGUAGGCGGCUUUUUAAGUCGGAUGUGAAAUCCCUGAGCUUAACUUAGGAAUUGCAUUCGAUACUGGGAAGAUAGAGUAUGGGAGAGGAUGGUAGAAUUCCAGGUGUAGCGGUGAAAUGCGUAGAGAUCUGGAGGAAUACCGAUGGCGAAGGCAGCCAUCUGGCCUAAUACUGACGCUGAGGUACGAAAGCAUGGGGAGCAAACAGGAUUAGAUACCCGUGUAGUCCCUGUCUCUUAUAC